GUGAAUCAUCGAAUUUUUGAACGCAAAUUGCACUUUCUGGUAUUCCGGAAAGCAUGCCUGUUUGAGGGUCAGUUAAAUAAAAAUCGGUUUUGAUGCUGCCUUUCGUGGUGACGCGCCGGAAUUGGUUUGCCUUACCUUCGGUUAAGUGACUUAAAAUUGUUGCUUGAUUUUCGUACGUCUUUAAAUUGCUUACGUACGUUUGAGAUAUCGAAUGCUUAUU
rnacentral:misc_RNA from 1 species